rnacentral:rRNA from 1 species
UCGGGAAUUUUGGGCAAUGGGCGAAAGCCUGACCCAGCAACGCCGCGUGAAGGAUGAAGUAUUUCGGUAUGUAAACUUCGAAAGAAUAGGAAGAAUAAAUGACGGUACUAUUUAUAAGGUCCGGCUAACUACGUGCCAGCAGCCGCGGUAAUACGUAGGGACCAAGCGUUGUUCGGAUUUACUGGGCGUAAAGGGCGCGUAGGCGGCAAUUCAAGUCAUCUGUGAAAUCUCCGGGCUUAACUCGGAACGGUCAGAUGAUACUGCUUUGCUAGAGUGCAGAAGGGGCAAUCGGAAUUCUUGGUGUAGCGGUGAAAUGCGUAGAUAUCAAGAGGAACACCUGAGGUGAAGACGGGUUGCUGGGCUGACACUGACUCUGAGAUGCGAAAGCGUGGGGAGCAAAAAGGAUUAGAUACCCUCGUAGUCCCUGAGCGGGCUGGCAAGGCGCAU